rnacentral:rRNA from 1 species
AUGGAUCAGGGCUGGGCGAGCUGGUUCGGCGCCGGCGUCACCUCCGCCUUCUUCGCCUCCCUCGAGCGCUGCUCCUGCAUCAACCUCUCCACCGACGACGACGACGACGACGCCGACGACGCCCUCAUGCUCUCCGCCGCCGCCCCCUCCGACCAGCCCCAGCUCGACGCCGCCCCCGCCGUCGCCGCCGACA